AUUGAACGCUGGCGGCAGGCCUAACACAUGCAAGUCGAGCGAGAAAGCACUUCGGUGUGAGUACAGCGGCGGACGGGUGAGUAAAGCGUAGGAAUCUACCUGGUAGUGGGGGAUAACUUGGGGAAACUCAAACUAAUACCGCAUACGCCCUAUGGGGGAAAGCGGGGGACCUUCGGGCCUCGCGCUAUCAGAUGAGCCUGCGUAGGAUUAGCUUGUUGGUGAGGUAAAGGCUCACCAAGGCGACGAUCCUUAGCUGGUCUGAGAGGAUGAUCAGCCACACUGGGACUGAGACACGGCCCAGACUCCUACGGGAGGCAGCAGUGGGGAAUAUUGCGCAAUGGGCGAAAGCCUGACGCAGCCAUGCCGCGUGUGUGAAGAAGGCCUU
rnacentral:rRNA from 1 species